AUUGAACGCUGGCGGCAGGCCUAACACAUGCAAGUCGCACGAGUGGCGGACGGGUGAUUAAUGUCUUUGCAACUGCCUGAUGGAGGGGGAUAACUACUGGAAACGGUAGCUAAUCCCGCAUACCAUCCGAUGUUCCCAGAUGGGAUUGGCUUGUUGGUGGGGUAAGGGCUCAACAAGGCGACGAUCCCUAGUUGGUCUGAGAGGAUGACCAGCCACACUGGAACUGAGACACGGUCCAGACUCCUACGGGAGGCAGCAGUGGGGAAUAUUGCACAAUGGGCGCAAGCCUGAUGCAGCCAUGCCGCGUGUAUGAAGAAGGCCUUCGGGUUGUAAAGUACUUUCAGCGGGGAGGCGUUACCCGCAGAAGAAGCACCGGCUAACUCCGUGCCAGCAGCCGCGGUAAUAC
rnacentral:rRNA from 1 species